rnacentral:rRNA from 1 species
AUUGAACGCUGACGGCAUGCCUUACACAUGCAAGUCGAACGGUAACAGGUCUUCGGAUGCUGACGAGUGGCGAACGGGUGAGUAAUACAUCGGAACGUGCCUAGUAGUGGGGGAUAACUACUCGAAAGAGUGGCUAAUACCGCAUGAGAUCUACGGAUGAAAGCAGGGGAUCGCAAGACCUUGUGCUACUAGAGCGGCCGAUGGCAGAUUAGGUAGUUGGUGGGAUAAAAGCUUACCAAGCCGACGAUCUGUAGCUGGUCUGAGAGGACGAUCAGCCACACUGGGACUGAGACACGGCCCAGACUCCUACGGGAGGCAGCAGUGGGGAAUUUUGGACAAUGGGCGAAAGCCUGAUCCAGCAAUGCCGCGUGCAGGAUGAAGGCCUUCGGGUUGUAAACUGCUUUUGUACGGAACGAAAAGCUCUGGGUUAAUACCCUGGGGUCAUGACGGUACCGUAAGAAUAAGCACCGGCUAACUACGUGCCAGCCGCCGCGGUAAGAC